UAUUGGGCAAUGGGGGCAACCCUGACCCAGCGACGCCGCGUGGGGGAAGACGGCCUUCGGGUUGUAAACCUCUUUUGUACGGGAAGAAGGAAGUGACGGUACUGUACGAAUAAGUCCCGGCUAACUACGUGCCAGCAGCCGCGGUAAUACGUAGGGGACGAGCGUUGUCCGGAAUUACUGGGCGUAAAGGGCGCGCAGGCUGUGCUGCAAGUCAGCUGUUAAAUGUCUGGGCUUAACCCGGGCAUGCGGUUGAGACUGCAGUGCUGGAGUGCUGUAGAGGCAAGUGGAAUUCCCAGUGUAGCGGUGAAAUGCGUAGAUAUUGGGAAGAACACCGGUGGCGAAGGCGACUUGCUGGGCAGCAACUGACGCUGAGGCGCGAAAGCCAGGGGAGCAAACGG
rnacentral:rRNA from 1 species